GAGGCGGUGGUCAGAGUAGCUUCCAGGCUGCCAUCUUCAAUUUAUUGGGAAUUACAGUGAGGUGAGAAAGAGGGUCCCCAGGUCUCAUUUCCCAUCCUCUACCUAUGUCCAGAGAGACUCCUGAGUCUCCUGCCCAUUGCCUGGCCUUGGUUGUUAUCUUCUCCUCCACCUAGAAUGGCAGCCUUCUCUUCUUCCUCCAGCUAAGUCCUAGAACCUUCAGAACUCAGAUCUGAUGUCACCUCCACCUUUCCUGACUCCCCAGGCUGGUCUGCGACAGCCCACAUCUCUAUCUCCCCGACUCCUUGAUGGCAGGGGCCAUGUCUGCAUGCCUGGCAGCUGGCCUGGGGCAUGACAAGGUGACCUUGAAUGGGUCUCCACUUUUGGCUGGUCCUCAGUUUACUCAUCUGUAAAAUGGGUUUGAUGAUCUCUUAGAGCCACUCUGGCCACUUGAGAGCCCCAACUGGAGUGUCUCAGGCCGAACACCACAUGUCCUGCUCUGCUAAGAGGAAGGAAACCUUUCAAAGCUGAACUCUGUGUGGGCAUCCAAGCUGAUUUAUUAGCUCUGAAAUAGCCAAAGUACUGUUUUUGCUUAAUGGCAUUAAAAAAAACAACAACACACACACACACACACCAAAAAACAACAACAAAAAACCCUGCGACCAGUCCUCUUUUUAAUGAAAAGUAUGGGGACCAUCAGGGGAACCUAUCCAGGGAGGGAAAAUGAAGUUGUCAUUUUUCAACAUAAUUAAACUUGGUUUUCAGAAAUCUCCUGAUCUGAAAUGUGAAUUACGCUAAUUACUUCUGGUGGCUGCAACAUUGAUUUCAGUGUUAAAGUUAAUGGACUUAAUGGACGUCGCUUCUCCCUCAGACGCGGCUUGGGGCUCCCUGCUGAGGUACCACGAGGGGCUUCCACUGGGCCCUCUGAAUCCUCUGUCAUCAGCCUCUGCUGCCUGAAGCCCCCACCAGAAAGAACACCUCUUUCUGUCCCAUGUGGCCAUAAUGAGGUUCUCAGUCCAGGUAUCUGGUACCACGUUCUCCACAAGGUAAGCAUGUAAUACAACGGGAGCAGUCAUUGCAUUGUACAUCCUAGACCCCAUGACAUAGCUGGGCCCAUCACUCUCUUUAUCCAGAUUUUCUCAAUUGAGGUGGAGGGGUUGUCAACUUCAGAAUGAUUUGAUUGCCAAAUUUGGCCUAUACAAGGAGCAAUGACUAUAAAUCUUAUAGAAAGAAACCCAAAAGUUCAUCGGCAGUUUCAAAAAUAAGAUUAACAUCUCCAUGAACCAGAAAUGGAAUAGAAAUCUAAAAUGGUAAAUGGAACCAAAGCCAUAAUUUUGCUGGGUUCUGGGUCUGGCAUCAAGCAAUGCAGUUGACAGUUCAACCCUUGUAGGUUAAGGGGAUGCAAAUGGUCCUUUAGGGGUAGGAAGCAGCGUUGUGGUCAGGAAUGAAGGCCAGAUGACUGGCUGACUCUGUGAUUAUGUUUGGGACACACCAUUACACCCAUGCAAACUACUAUUAUAAGAGUUGGUUUGGGAUAAGAAUGGGUAAACAUGGAUAGGGAGAGAGAGGGAGAAAAGGAGGAGGAAGAGAAAGGGAAAGACAAAAAGAAAUCCCCACUUAAAGUGAAUCUAUGAAUCAAUAUUCCAAGAUAUAUGAAGAGAUUUAUUACCAGAAAAAAAAUCCAUAAUCUGAACAGAAAUUCACUCUAGAUAAAAUUCACUAGACAGAAGUAUCUGUAAGUACAUUUAGAAGUUCAAGGAGAUAAACUCUUAAUAAAAGAAAACUAUAUAUAUAUAUAUAUAUAUAU
rnacentral:lncRNA from 12 species